rnacentral:rRNA from 1 species
UACGUAGGGGGCAAGCGUUGUCCGGAUUUAUUGGGCGUAAAGAGCGUGUAGGCGGCCUGACAGGUCUGCUGUGAAAACUCGAGGCUCAACCUCGAGAUGUCGGCGGAAACCGUCUGGCUAGAGUCCGGAAGAGGAGAGUGGAAUUCCCGGUGUAGUGGUGAUAUGCGUAGAUAUCGGGAGGAACACCUGUGGCGAAGGCGGCUUUCUGGGCCUUACCUGACGCUGAGACGCGAAAGCGUGGGGAGCGAACCGG